CGGUGGUUUCCCGGGAGGUUCCCAAAACUCCAUCCCUAGAGCCAAAGCUCCGGGUGUUGCAAAAAAAGGGUUUUUUCCGGGGUCAGGAGAAAGCUGUAAGAUCCAACACCAGCCUUGGGGGUUGGCAUUUUUGCCUUCCAACAAAAGGGCUCAAAAAGGGGCUGAGCUGCCCGAAAUUGCCCCAUCUGCCCGAAUUUGCCCCGUUCCCCCGCCGUAGCUCGGCAGCAGCCGCCUGCCCCAGUGUGUUCCCCGUCAGGAAGCAGCUGGCUCCCGUCCAGGUGGGACCCUGCCAGCAGUGAUGGAUGCCCGAGGUGCUGCCGUGCCACCCUGCUCCUGGCUAACCAGCACCAGUUCUUCAGUGGCAAGCUUUAUGUCCUUCUCCAGUAGCUAAAGCUGCCAGUUGAAGAACUGUUGAAUGUAGCCACUCUCUUCUCGUCACUGGGACCUUGGAUGCCAGCCAGAGCCGUGCCCUGAGCCGCCAGGAUGAGCCACUCUGCGUUGGAGGGCUGAGGAUGAGUGUGACCAGGAUGAAGAAAGACUCCAGACAGAGCCUUGGCUGGAGGAUUGUAGGCAGCUGUGCCAAAAUGUGUCGUCCCCUCCCUCAGUGGGGUGGCACUGAGCUAGGAGGAGACUGAGAGAAGCAUUAAACAUUAUUUUGCUCAA